rnacentral:ncRNA from 1 species
GGGAUAGAGGCGCGGCUUCCAUGCGUACUCUGAGACAAGGCCAGGCUGCCGUUUCAGAGGAGAGGGGCAGCCGCCGAAGGGGAGGCGCAGAGCCUGAUGCACUUCCCCUGGGCCGUGGGAAAACAUCCCCCGGACUGUCACAGAUCACAGUGGAGCGCUAUC